rnacentral:rRNA from 1 species
AGUCGUAACAAGGUUUCCGUAGGUGAACCUGCGGAAGGAUCAUUACAGUAUUCUUUUGCCAGCGCUUAACUGCGCGGCGAAAAACCUUACACACAGUGUCUUUUUGAUACAGAACUCUUGCUUUGGUUUGGCCUAGAGAUAGGUUGGGCCAGAGGUUUAACAAAACACAAUUUAAUUAUUUUUACAGUUAGUCAAAUUUUGAAUUAAUCUUCAAAACUUUCAACAACGGAUCUCUUGGUUCUCGCAUCGAUGAAGAACGCAGCGAAAUGCGAUAAGUAAUAUGAAUUGCAGAUUUUCGUGAAUCAUCGAAUCUUUGAACGCACAUUGCGCCCUCUGGUAUUCCAGAGGGCAUGCCUGUUUGAGCGUCAUUUCUCUCUCAAACCCCCGGGUUUGGUAUUGAGUGAUACUCUUAGUCGGACUAGGCGUUUGCUUGAAAAGUAUUGGCAUGGGUAGUACUAGAUAGUGCUGUCGACCUCUCAAUGUAUUAGGUUUAUCCAACUCGUUGAAUGGUGUGGCGGGAUAUUUCUGGUAUUGUUGGCCCGGCCUUACAACAACCAAACAAGUUUGACCUCAAAUCAGGUAGGAAUACCCGCUGAACUUAAGCAUAUCUAAAAGUCG